ACAUGCUUACAACAUAGCAUUAAUGCACCAUAUCCCAUUAGAACUCCACAGUUAAGCGCACUCAAGCUAGAGUGGUACUGGGAUGGGUGACUGCUCAGGAAGUCCUAGUGUUUUACAUGCC
rnacentral:rRNA from 1 species